rnacentral:piRNA from 1 species
UGAGGAGCAAUGUACACUCUAAGGA